GUGGGGGAUAUUGCACAAUGGGGGAAACCCUGAUGCAGCGACGCCGCGUGAGGGAAGACGGUUUUCGGAUUGUAAACCUCUGUCUUUGGGGACGAACAAAUGACGGUACCCAAGGAGGAAGCCACGGCUAACUACGUGCCAGCAGCCGCGGUAAUACGUAGGUGGCAAGCGUUGUCCGGAAUUACUGGGUGUAAAGGGAGCGUAGGCGGGGAGACAAGUUGAAUGUUUAAACUAUCGGCUUAACUGAUAGUCGCGUUCAAAACUAUCACUCUUGAGUGCAGUAGAGGCAGGCGGAAUUCCUAGUGUAGCGGUGAAAUGCGUAGAUAUUAGGAGGAACACCAGUGGCGAAGGCGGCCUGCUGGGCUGUAACUGACGCUGAGGCUCGAAAGCGUGGGUAGCAAACAGG
rnacentral:rRNA from 1 species